GCAGCUCUGGGACAGGAGCCUAAUCCAGGAUUCCCAGGAGUCCCCAGUCCCUGCUCAGGACAAAACACAGACCUCUCACCAUGCAGUUUGGAAUCAGCUGGAUUUUACUUGUUGCUAUUUUAAGAGGUGUCCAGUCUGAAGUGCAGUUGGUGGAGUCUGGGGGAGGCUUGGUUCAGCCUGGGGGGUCUCUGAGACUCUCCUGUGUAGCCUCUGGAUUCACCUUCAGUAGCUAUGGAAUGGACUGGGUCCGCCAGGCACCUGGGAAGGGGCUGGAGUGGGUGGCAGUUAUAUGGAAUGAUGGAAGUCAGAAAUACUAUGCAGACUCUGUGAAAGGCCGAUUCACCAUCUCCAGAGACAAUGCGAAGAACACGCUGUACCUGCAAAUGAACAGCCUAAAACCCGAGGACACAGCCCUGUAUUACUGCGCUGCAGACACAGUGAGAGGAAGUCAGUGUGAGCCUGGACAAAAAACCUCCCUGCUGGAGACAGAAGGCUUAGGCUUCACAAAACACUCAGGACACCAGGGGGCACUCAGGACCCACAGUGAUUGA